rnacentral:misc_RNA from 1 species
GGAAGGAUCAUUCACACAUUGAAAUCCAAAUCUAUCUGUGACAAUCAGCGAUAUGCUUGCAUAUCGCUAGCUGUCUAUACUACUUCGGUAGUAUUUUCAGCACCCACCCUAUAAUUUCAAUAAAUUAUAAAAUUUUAUAUCUUUUAGCGAUGGAUGUCUUGGCUCCCACCACGAUGAAGGACGCAGCGAAUUGCGAUAAGCAGUGUGAAUUGCAGAAUUCAGUGAAUCACUAGAUGGCUGAACGCGAAUUGCACUUGGGGGUAUUCCUCCAAGUGUGCCUAUUUCAGUGUCUCCAGAUUCACACUACACUAUAUCUUCGGAUAUCACAGUGUAGUGUCUUAUCAACAUCACUCUUAACAGGGUAGUUGUUGAACUAUUUCGCUCAACUCGAUAUUGCUCAGCAACUCAGCGUGGCUUUAAUUAAUCAUGCAUGAGUGGGCAACGAGUGCGACCUUGUAAAUUUUUUAUCUUACGACCUGAAAUUAAGCAAGAUUACCCGCUGAAUUUAAGCAUAUAAUUAAGUGGUGGAAAAGAAACUAACCAGAAUUCCCUUAGUAAUGGCGAAUGAACAGGGACAAGCUCAAAAUGAAAAUCAGUGGCUUCUGCUACUGAAUUGUAGUCUCAAGGAGUGUUACCAGUGGAGGCGCAGGGAUAAGCCUCUUGGAAAAGAGCAUCUAUGAAGGUGAAAAUCCUGUCUUUGCUCUGCAGACUUCCGCGUACGGUACAUUUCCAACGAGUCGCGUUCCUUGGAAGUGGAGCGCUAAAUGGAAGGUAAAUUUCUUCUAAAGCUAAAUAUUUGUGGGAGACCGAUAGCGAACAAGUACCAUGAGGGAAAGAUGAAAAGGACUUUGGAAAGAGAGUUAAAAGUGCCUGAAAUCGCUAAAAGGGAA